rnacentral:rRNA from 1 species
GUUGAACGCUGGCGGAAUGCUUUACACAUGCAAGUCGAACGGCAGCACGGGGCAACCUGGUGGCGAGUGGCGAACGGGUGAGUAAUACAUCGGAACGUGCCCAAUCGUGGGGGAUAACGUAGCGAAAGUUACGCUAAUACCGCAUACGAUCUACGGAUGAAAGCGGGGGAUCGCAAGACCUCGCGCGAAUGGAGCGGCCGAUGUCAGAUUAGGUAGUUGGUGGGGUAAAGGCUCACCAAGCCAACGAUCUGUAGCUGGUCUGAGAGGACGACCAGCCACACUGGGACUGAGACACGGCCCAGACUCCUACGGGAGGCAGCAGUGGGGAAUUUUGGACAAUGGGCGCAAGCCUGAUCCAGCCAUUCCGCGCGCAGGAUGAAGGCCUUCGGGUUGUAAACUGCUUUUGUACGGAACGAAACGGUUCUCUCUAAUACAGGGGGCUAAUGACGGUACCGUAAGAAUAAGCACCGGCUAACUACGUGCCAGCCGCCGCGGUAAGAC